CAGGGAGACAGGUGGUGCAUGGUUGUCGUCAGCUCGUGUCGUGAGAUGUUGGGUUAAGUCCCGCAACGAGCGCAACCCCUACGUUUAGUUGCUAACGCGUGAAGGCGAGCACUCUAGACGAACUGCCGUUGACAAAACGGAGGAAGGUGGGGAUGACGUCAAAUCAUCAUGCCCCUUAUGUUCUGGGCUACACACGUGCUACAAUGGCCGGUACAGACGGAGGCGAAGCCGCGAGGCGGAGCAAAUCCGAAAAAGCCGGUCUCAGUUCGGAUUGCAGGCUGCAAUUCGCCUGCAUGAAGUCGGAAUCGCUAGUAAUCGCAGGUCAGCAUACUGCGGUGAAUACGUUCCCGGGCCUU
rnacentral:rRNA from 1 species